GAUUUGGAUACUGGAGGGCGGGCAGUACGGAUUUGAAAUGAAAGGAAAGACAACACUCUUACCAUUUUUCAUGCUGUGUGUUUUCGGUCCUGCUGUUUGCCACCUUCCAAAGUUCAUCGAAAAAUUCGACAGACAGAUAAGGAACUCGGAAGACCAAUCUUCGGCCGUUUCGCACUUUCAGAGAUACACGUUAGAUAGAUCAAAUUUACCUAUUUCUACUGACGAGCGGAGCGUACCCCGACAUCUUAUACACCAUGCGCAGCCAUUUUCCACAGACAUCGACUUGCCUUGGCAAUGUGAACAGGAAUAUUUUUGGCGAGAUUUAGGAGAAAUGCACUUUCCAAGACAUUUAAAGGAAGUGCGAUGCUUAAAUACGACCUGUUGGUAUGGGCAUUAUCGAUGUGUACCUGCCAAAUAUUCUGCAAGGAUUCUAACCAGAAGUGCUGACGGUGAUGACGAUGGGAACGUGCCAUUUCCGCUUCGCCUUGAAUGGAAGUUUGAGAAUGUAGACAUUACAGUCGGGUGCACCUGCUCCAGGUAGAGGAAAAAUAAAUGAAUAGUUCUUUCUGCUAACGCUUUCACCCUUAUGAUGCACGUGUUCAUUUCAAACUUCGUGAUAUCUAUCGGUUAUGGAUUUGCUAAUCUCUCCCAGAAUUCCAUGCUAAAUAUAUGAACUAUACACAAUGAAAUGAUAUAAAAAUGUGUGUCGUAAAAGUUAAUUAUAUAGCUAUUGGAAAUACAUGUACGUAAAAUGUUUUAUUUUAGUGAGUGAUCUCCGCAGAUAUCAAUUCAAAUUGUAAAUCAUGAUGCACAACUUUAAAAAUAUUGCAUUAGUUUUGUAUUGAAUUUGCAAAAUAAAGUUCUUUGUAACACGCA